rnacentral:rRNA from 1 species
AACGAACGCUGGCGGCAUGCCUAACACAUGCAAGUCGAACGAGACCUUCGGGUCUUGUGGCGCACGGGUUCGUAACGCGUGGGAACCUGCCCUUAGGUUCGGAAUAACUCCCCGAAAUGGGUGCUAAUACCGGUUAAUGUCUUCGGACCAAAGAUUUAUCGCCUUUGGUUGGGCCCGCGUUGGAUUAGCUUGUUGGUAGGGUAAAAGCCUACCAAGGCGACGAUACAUAGCUGGUCUGAGAGGAUGAUCGGCCACACUGGGACUGAGACACGGCCCAGACUCCUACGGGAGGAAGCAGUGGGGAAUAGUGGACAAUGGGCGAAAGCAUGAAAAAGCAAUGCCGCGUGAGUGAUGAAGGCAUUAGGGUAGUAAAGCUCUAUUACCCGGGAUGAUAAUGACAGUACCGGGAGAAUAAGCACCGGCUAACUCCGUG